rnacentral:rRNA from 1 species
GUUGACCUCGGAUCAGGUAGGAAUACCCGCUGAACUUAAGCAUAUCAAUAAGCGGAGGAAAAGAAACCAACAGGGAUUGCCCCAGUAACGGCGAGUGAAGCGGCAACAGCUCAAAUUUGAAAUCUGGCCCCCAGGGCCCGAGUUGUAAUUUGCAGAGGAUGCUUUUGGCGCGGUGCCUUCCGAGUUCCCUGGAACGGGACGCCAUAGAGGGUGAGAGCCCCGUCUGGUCGGACACCAAGCCAGUGUAAAGCUCCUUCGACGAGUCGAGUAGUUUGGGAAUGCUGCUCUAAAUGGGAGGUAUAUGUCUUCUAAAGCUAAAUACCGGCCAGAGACCGAUACGCAGUUUUGUGUUGAU